GCGGGUUUGGUGGAAUUGGUAAACGCGCUGGAUCCGGUACCCAGUUCCGUAAGGAGUUCCGGUUCGACGCCGGCCACCCGCACCA
rnacentral:tRNA from 2 species